rnacentral:lncRNA from 1 species
CCGUUACUCCGACGAAGAGUGACAGCACGAUGGAAGAGUUGCAGGCUGCGAUUCAAGCGGCGAUUGCUCAUUGCAAGAAAUCCGUUCAUGCACCAGAGGAAGAAGAAGAUAGAAUUAAGCUGCAGCCAUAGACAAUAAUAUUGGUUGGAUUUUUUUAUUUUUAUUUAUUUUAUUUUAUUAAAAAAAAUUAAAAAAAAUUGAUGAUUUUUCACUGUAAAAAGUACCUAGAUUAUGAAAUCAAGUGUUGAUCAAUAAAUGAACUUAUGAACAUUGCCCAGUGGCAAAUUCAAGAUAUUUUUAUCAGUUUAAUUAAUUAUAGGAUUUAGUAUUUUCAAAA